GAUGAACGCUAGCUACAGGCUUAACACAUGCAAGUCGAGGGGCAGCAUAUUUUUAGCUUGCUCUUCCAGGAUGACGACCGGCGCACGGGUGAGUAACGCGUAUCCAACCUUCCCAUGUCCACGGGAUAGCCCGUCGAAAGGCGGAUUAAUACCGUAUGAGGUCACAUGCGGGCAUCUAAUUGUGACGAAAGGUUUAGCGGACAUGGAUGGGGAUGCGUCCGAUUAGCUAGUUGGCGGGGUAACGGCCCACCAAGGCGACGAUCGGUAGGGGUUCUGAGAGGAAGGUCCCCCACAUUGGAACUGAGACACGGUCCAAACUCCUACGGGAGGCAGCAGUGAGGAAUAUUGGUCAAUGGGCGGAAGCCUGAACCAGCCAAGUAGCGUGAGGGAUGACUGCCCUAUGGGUUGUAAACCUCUUUUAUAAGGGAAUAAAAUACGGGACGUGUCCUGUUUUGCAUGUACCUUAUGAAUAAGGACCGGCUAAUUCCGUG
rnacentral:rRNA from 1 species